ensembl:lncRNA novel transcript
AGCCCCUGUUCCCACAGCAUUAAAGUGGAGAUGACAGAGUCCCUCCUGGAGAGCCGGUCUAGCCAUUCAGUGAGUCAGCAGCACAGCUCCUCCAGCACGCAGAGAACAGCGGUCCAUGGAGGGAGGGCGUGAGCCUGGGGUUUUACUGAGGAAGGAUAGUGGGUUUUUCAGUCCCUGAAGCUGCUGCUCUGCCCACUCAGGAAGGUGAGGAAGGCAGACGACAGCGUACAUCCAGCCUCUGCUCUGCCAGGGUCGUUGAUGCCCUUUGGAAUGGAGAGCUGUGAAGGGGAAUGCCUAGGCCUCACAGAGGAGGCUCGUGACCCGGACAGGUGUGGGACUAGGGGCCAUGUCUGUAGCUCCCCUGCCACGGAGCAGAAUCUGCCUCUCCAUAAGCGUUAAGCUCUGGGGACUGUGACAUCCACGCUGGGCCUGGCUCCUGCCUUCCGCCUCCUGCCCAGCCCCUGCCAGCAGCACAUGGUGGAGACCGGUUGCCCAAAGCUCUUGUUCUCAGAUGUGGGCAGAACGGGAAUCUGCCAUGUGCCCGUGGAUUAAAAAAAAGAAACCCAGGCUGCUUUUCUGUCUGUUAGAAGGAGCCUGCACUUCAAGAUAGUGGGGAUGUAUAUUUUAAAAAAUUUCACGCUCAUGGGCCAAAGAUUUUCCCGGGGCUGUGUGCUGAUUUGCAGCCUAUCAUGUGUGGCUUUGGGACACUGGGGAAGGUGUGGAGCAGUUUAAGUGACAAACGGGUUGGAAAAGCAAAGGACACCAGGUGAGGAUGAUGGAAUUUACAUCCUGUUGCUUCCCUGAUAGUUCCUGCCAAUAUGGGAUCCCACUACUAUCUUUCUGCCCUAAAAAUAUGUGUAUAUUGAGAUAGAAACUGUUGUAAUGGCUGCAUGCAUUCAGUAGAGGAAAGGAGAGAAGAAAGAAGGAACAGAUUUAGUCCUGCCCAGAAUCUGCACUUCCACGGAGGACGCCAGGAUAUCACGGGAGAGACUGCAGCUCUGAUCAAAUGGGGCGAGCUCUUGGCAGGAGCCAGCAUGUUCCUGUGUUCCAUUUGGGAGGACAGUUUACUUUAAUGAUGUACUUUGAAAUCAGGUGGACGUCUGUAACUCCUGGACCUUUCGCAGCCUUUCCAGCCACGGUCAUCUCUGUGGAGUCAGGGGCAGGGACUUUGGGAUCAGCUUCUGCCCUUGUGAAAACAGCAGAGCAGCCUGAGAGCCAGGAAGGACCUCACCUGAGUAUCAGAUCACCUCAUCAGGCUGAAUUGUGUGGAUCUAGGGAUUUUAAAGAGGUGAUUAAGGUAAAAUGAGGUUAUUAGGGUGGCCCUUGACCCAGUGUGACUGGUAUCCUCAUAAGAGGAGAUUAGGACACAGCCACACAGAGGGACGACCACCUGAGGAUCCCUGAGAAGAUGGCAUCUGGAAGGUGAGGAGAGAGGCCUCAGAAGGAAUCAACUCUGCUGAUACUUGAUGCCAACUUCCAGCCUCUGAAACUGCGAGCAAGCUCUGGGUAUGGUCACAUUCCACUUGAGGAACCUUCUCGCCUUGGACUCAGCUGCUGUGUUGGGAGAAGGCUGGGAACAGAGAAAGGCAACAUGAACAGACAUGGUCAACAGGCUCAUGGAACCUCACUCUUGAGUCAUCUUGGCUCAGCCACUAGAUAGGAGUCAAGAAACACCAGAAAAUUCCAGGUUCUGGCCAUCUGAGUUCUUUUGAGAGUUUUGGACAUUGAGGAAUAGAGGCUGACAACCACUGUUGUACCCAGUCCAAAUCCUUGACCUAUGGGAUCCACAAGCUUAAUACAUUGGUGGUUGUUUCUCUCUGCUUUUUUCAGGGUGGUUUGUUAUUCAGCAAUGGAUAAUUAGAGCACUGACUCACCUUGAUGGGCCUCAUCAUCAUUCAUCCAGAAAUCUUUUAUUGAGAAAAAUAAUAUUUGCCAUGUUGUGCAAGGAGUUGGGGUUGCAAAGCUGGGUGCUGUGAUCUAUAACACAAGGCAGCAGGAUUGUCUGACCUCCGAGAGCCAUGUGCCCUGGGAUCAUCUGGCCACAGUUAUCUCACAGAAUUCCUAAUGCACAGUCUGUGUGGGAGGUGAUGCCGGAGUCCCCCCUCCCUCUGGGCUCCUCCCCGUGCUCUGCUCACAUCACUGGGGGGUUGGCGGCAGCCUGCUGAGUCCUUUCGACCCUCAGCCCGCUCUCCAGCACUCAGACUGGCCGAAACCUGUGCCGCUGGCUCCACCCUCAGGUCUCCCCACUCCUCUCAUUAGCCACCGGCCUUCUCAGCCUUCUCUUAUUCUUGUGACUCUUGCCUGACCCUGCCUCAGCUCUGUGUCCUCCCAGACUGCUGACUGUGAGGCUUUGCCCAGCGGAUUUUCCAUCGCCAAAUUAGAGCUUUUCUUUCCUCGCCUGACUGCUCCCUGUCACUGUCUUCUGUAUCUUCCUGUUCCUGAUUUUGGCUGGCUAUCAAGAGAAGAAGAUCUACAAUCAUCCUAUCUCUCAUGGCACCUUACCAUGUGCAACUCCCUCGUAUCUAAUACCUCACUUCACCUUUUCUGUUCUUCUAUUUAUGAGCUACGUGAUGUCAGACAAGGCACUUAACUACUCUGGGCUUUGGCUCCCUUAUUUAACGAUAGGUAUCAUAAUAAUACCUGUCCUGUCCAAUUUACAGUUUGUCUGACAGUUAUUCAUUUAACAAACAUGCAUUGGGUUCCUACUGAGUGCUGGGUGAUGUAUCCAGCAUUGCUAAGACAACGGCCGUGAGAACAGCAAGCAUGCCUGGGUUUUGCAUUCUAGUGGGACGUCUUAAUCUAUUUUCUGCUAAAACAUAAUACCACAAACUAGGCAGUUGAUGAAGAAGAUACAUUUACUUCUUGCAGUUGAAGAGGCUGGGAAGUCCAAGGGCAUGGCACUGGCAUCUGGGUCAUCCCAUGGUGGAAGGUGGAAGGUGGAAGGGCAGGGACUAAGAAGAGCACCAGGUGCCAGACUCACUUUGUAACAACCCACUGUCAUAAUAACUAACCUGACCUCACAACCCAGUCACCUCCCAACAAAGUUGCAUUGGGAUUGAAUUUAUAACACAAGAACUUUUGGGGGGCAAAUUCAAGCCAGGCAUGG